CAGUGUGUAGUACCGCCAGUGCUGCUCCCUGGCCUCCCUGUACCCGGCCAGGCCUUUUAUUGGGACUGUGACGAGGAACUGACUGGGAGCCAAAACCUAGGGUCAGGAAAGGAUUGAAAACAAGCAUGAAUUCACAGAUUCGGGAGGUAACGGAAGUCCUGGGAACCAACCUGUCUCGUCAGGCAGCUCUGUUAACCACUCCACCCUCAGCAGAGUGACCAGAUACACGGAGACCUCGACCUGGGUGUUACAAGUGGAUUACCUCUUUGUUCUGCUACUGAAUCAUUGUAAAUACUUCGGGCAAGUAAAUUAACCUGCUGAGUUUAUUAUCUCAUGAAUAUACAAGUAAAGACAGUGAACUAAACCAGGAACUCCAGAGGAGACCUAAGGUUUGAGAAAGAAGAAUGAGUAUGCAUUCAGUUCCAUGCAGACGCAACACCGUAAUUCUAAUGCAUUUGACCAUUUCAACUUCACAGUCACACAGUAAGGUGAGCUUUCUUGCCAUUUUCCAGAUAAGGAAUUCAAGAUGCAGAGGGGCUUGGAGAUCUCCUCAGGGACACACAACCAAAUCCACAAAUCCCAGAAUCUCUUAGGUGGUUCCUGCGUCCACCAACCUUGAGAUGUAAUGGGCCAGCAAUGGUCUUUUGCUCAGAGACAGAAUCUCACUACAUUGCCCAGGCUGGUCUCAAAC